rnacentral:rRNA from 1 species
GACGAACGCUGGCGGCGUGCUUAACACAUGCAAGUCGAGCGGAAGGGCCCUGCUUUUGUGGGGUGCUCGAGUGGCGAAGGGGUGAGUAACACGUGAGUAACCUUCCCUUGACUUUGGGAUAACUUCAGGAAACUGGGGCUAAUACCGGAUAGGAGCUCCUGCUGCAUGGUGGGGGUUGGAAAGUUUCGGCGGUUGGGGAUGGACUCGCGGCUUAUCAGCUUGUUGGUGGGGUAGUGGCUUACCAAGGCUUUGACGGGUAGCCGGCCUGAGAGGGUGACCGGCCCCACUGGGACUGAGAUACGGCCCAGACUCCUACGGGAGGCAGCAGUGGGGAAUAUUGCACAAUGGGAGGAAGGCUGAUGCAGCAACGCAGCGCGGGGGAUGACGGCCUUGGGGUUGUAAACCGCGUUCGCCUGUGACGAAGCGUGUGUGACGGUAAUGGGUAAAGAAGCACCGGCUAACUACGUG